UGACAGCAAAACAUUCUUUUAUUUUCACUUUCAAUUUUUCAUCGAAUUAUAGUAAUCAAAAUCCAAAAAAGUCCUUUACAAAUACAGGAUAGCCGUGUUCAUACAAAUCAACACUGUUACAUAAAUACACCAGGUUUGCAAUAAUACAGACACACAGUUUAUAUUCUUUAACAAAAAACAAA